GGAUGCGAUCAUACCAGCACUAAAGCACCGGAUCCCAUCAGAACUCCGAAGGUAAGCGUGCUUGGGCGAGAGUAGUACUAGGAUGGGUGACCUCCUAGGAAGUCCUCGUGUUGCAUUCCC
rnacentral:rRNA from 1 species